rnacentral:lncRNA from 1 species
GCAGAGUAGACCCGGUGCCUUUGGCAGCCCAGCCUCACUUUUCUGCUUCUGUGCUCUCUCUUCUGUACCAGGGGAUGGAAGCCCGAGAACCACAUUUCUGAGAACACUUGCCAUCCAGGUUCCAGGUUGGAUUCUUUCCUGGACUGGUAACUACAUGAGAUUCAGAAGGAAAGUAGCCAAAGCCAUCUCAUUGUCUUUUAACUGGGAAAAGUGUGAGCGUGGAGCUGCCAUCUCCAUUUUACAGAAGAGGGACAAAUGCUCAGUGAAGUUCUUUUCCAACUGCAAGUUGGAGUGUGGACACGGAGCGCGUUGGCUGCUGUUGAAGGGGUCAGGCGGGGAGCAAGCCCUUGCUGGGAACCCGAGCGCGCAUCGGUUUCCUCGAAAACCCUCUGCGUGGAUCCAAGGAUAAGUGCUCUCCUCUCCGUGAACGUUCCAGGAGAUCCGGCUGGGAGAUAAGUGUUUCGGCCGAAGGCACUGGGGCUCAGGGCCCGAGAUUCGAACCCAGGUGUCUCUGACCACAGAGGGUAUCAGAGUUUCCUCUGAGCUAUGUCUACCGAGUCCACGUGCUGAUGGACCACCAACCUCUCUCACCUCCUGCGGUCUCUGGGGAGGAUGCUUCCACCCAGACUCUGGUUGCAAUCCCAGUAGACGCCGGCGUGGGAUGUGAAGGUUUUUAGAAGAGAGGAUCCCAAAGACUCCGCAUUAGGACGCAGCUAGGAGGCUGAGGGACCUGCGGGCAUUUCAUAGCACCAUGGUUUCCCUCUAGACCCUUCCUCACUGUCCUCCCUGCUCUCGGGGGUCCACUGGCUUUCUCUGGACCCCCAAAGGGAAAAGUACGGAGGCCUCAGUUCGUGGCGUGCUUUUACCACUGCCGGCAGCCAGGCUGAUGUGUGACCCGGACACUGUCUGGGAGUCUCCGAAUCUGAGAGACCUGUCAUUGGAGGAAGGCCCCUAGCUGGAGGUGGGGCCACGGAGAAGGGCGGGCAGGACCGCAGGAGGAACCGGUUCUACUUUCUCAGAAGGAGGGGACGGGGAACAGAAAGAAGGCUGUGUGGCUUUUCCCAGGGGAGGGGGCUGGGGGAGCUGGGAUUACUCCUUUCUGCGCUUGAGGGUCUCUGGCCACGAAGGAUGGGUCGUACUUGCUGCUGUCAGUUGGUGUAUGCUAAAGUGUUCUUGGUUUUUCUCUGUUUCUAUUUUCUAUCUUGACAGAAAAAUUGUGAUUUUCACACUGUCAUGAAACCAAUAGGUCCCUGACAUAUGUUUUUGUAAUCUGUGUAGCUGAUUUCCCCGUGCUUCUGACAGUUCUAUUACAUCUCUGACAGUUUUAUAAAAUUUUUCCUCUGGGAAGUUGAAGGGGGUUUGUGCCUCCCCCCACCUUCAAUUCCCCGAUCCCCCAUGCUAACUUGUAU